ACCUCAUUCAGUGGUGUUGCGAUG
rnacentral:miRNA from 8 species